GAUGAACGCUAGCGGCAGGCUUAACACAUGCAAGUCGAGGGGCAGCAUAAAUAGUAGCAAUACUAUUGGUGGCGACCGGCGGACGGGUGCGUAACGCGUAUACAACCUUCCCUAAACAGGGGGAUAAUCUGGAGAAAUUCGGUCUAAUACCCCAUAACAUCAGAGCAGGCAUCUGUUUUGGUUAAAAUUUCCGGAGGUUUAGGAUGGGUAUGCGUAGCAUUAGCUAGUGGGUGAGGUAACGGCUCACCAAGGCGACGAUGCUUAGGGGGACUGAGAGGUUAACCCCCCACACUGGUACUGAGACACGGACCAGGCUCCUACGGGAGGCAGCAGUGAGGAAUAUUGGUCAAUGGGCGGAAGCCUGAACCAGCCAUGCCGCGUGCAGGAUGACGGCUCUAUGAGUUGUAAGCUGCUUUUGUACGAGGGUAAAGUGGGCUACGUGUAGCCUUUUGAAAGUAUCGUACGAAUAAGGAUCGGCUAACUCCGUGCCAGCCGCCGCCGUAA
rnacentral:rRNA from 1 species